rnacentral:misc_RNA from 1 species
UUUCCGUAGGUGAACCUGCGGAAGGAUCAUUAUCGAGUUUUGACUGGGUUGUAGCUGGCCUUCCGAGGCAUGUGCACGCCCUGCUCAUCCACUCUACACCUGUGCACUUACCGUGGGUCUCAGAUCUUGAAUCGUGCUCUUUUACCUGAGCUUGUGACGCGUGUCUGUGCCUGCGUUUAUCACAAACACUAUAAAGUAUCAUAAUGUUUAUUACGAUGUAACGCAUCUAUAUACAACUUUCAGCAACGGAUCUCUUGGCUCUC